CAAUAGCGUAUAUUAAAGUUGUUGCAGUUAAAAAGCUCGUAGUUGGAUUUGUGGCGUACGGUGGGUUCCGGGCACUUGUUGUCUGAGUAACUUGCUGUUGCCAUCCUUGGGUGGAACCUGUGUGGCAUUAGGUUGUCGUGCAGGGGAUGCCCAUCAUUUACUGUGAAAAAAUUAGAGUGUUCAAAGCAGGCUUAUGCCGUUGAAUAUAUUAGCAUGGAAUAAUGAGAUAGGACUUUUUUGCUAUUUUGUUGGUUUGCGCAAAGAGGUAAUGAUUAAUAGGGACAGUUGGGGGUAUUCGUAUUCCAUUGUCAGAGGUGAAAGUCUUGGAUUUUUGGAAGACGAACUACUGCGAAAGCAUUUACCAAGGAUGUUUUCAUUAA
rnacentral:rRNA from 1 species